CGGGCUUAGUGGCGGACGGGUGAGUAACGCGUGAGAAUCUACCUUCUAGAUGGGGACAACCGUUGGAAACGACGGCUAAUCCCCAAUAAGCCGAGAGGUGAAACGGGUAUCCGCUAGAAGAGGAGCUCGCGUCCGAUUAGUUAGUUGGUGGGGUAAGAGCCUACCAAGGCAGCGAUCGGUAGCUGGUCUGAGAGGAUGAGCAGCCACACUGGGACUGAGACACGGCCCAGACUCCUACGGGAGGCAGCAGUGGGGAAUUUUCCGCAAUGGGCGAAAGCCUGACGGAGCAACGCCGCGUGUGGGAAGAAGGCUCUUGGGCUGUCAACCACUUUUCUCAGGGAAGAAGUCCUGACGGUACCUGAGGAAUCAGCCUCGGCUAACUCCGUGCCAGCAGCCGCGGUAAUACGGAGGAGGCAAGCGUUAUCCGGAAUUAUUGGGCGUAAAGCGUCCGCAGGGGGCGCAUCAAGUCUGCUGUUAAAGGUCGGAGCUAAACUCCGGUAGAGCAGUGGAAACUGGUGCGCUAGAGGGCGACAGGGGUAGAGGGAAUUCCCAGUGUAGCGGUGAAAUGCGUAGAGAUUGGGAAGAACACCGGUGGCGAAAGCGCUCUACUGGGUCGCACCUGACCCUCAGGGACGAAAGCUAAGGUAGCGAAAGGGAUUAGAUACCCCUGU
rnacentral:rRNA from 1 species